CUCAUUUCAUGUGAUGCAGAUUUCAGAACAGUUUGCAUAUGCAGACGCUAGCGGGGGGGCAGUUCUUCCUGGAGGUUAGUUAAAAUCCCACAGGGCUGAAAUACCAGCGAGACAUGAAAAGAAGAGCUACAGGUCUGUUUUACUUGAACUGGCAUUUCAGACCUCAUCCAUGCCAUUAUUAAUGAGAGGAUUGUGCACCAGCACAUUUGAAUCUGGCCUUUAGGAUUCAGGUGCAUUAAAAUCUGGCUUUAAGAAAAUAAGAAGGAUGAGACGACAAAUAAAAUUACACAUCUAAUCAGCUCUGUUGGUGUUUUCCAACAGCCCAUUUAGGGGCAUGUUUGUCCUCUCCAACAACACAGGGUAACUGGCUCUUCCCCAUGUAAUCGUGAGUGCAGUGACAGGCUUGCUGAAAGCCAGAGUGGGAAUCCUUUUUUAUAGGCAAAGGACAAAAAAAAAGGGGUCUCAUGGGUUGUUGGUUUUUUUUUUUUUUUUUUAAUGCUACCCUUGUGUCUCAAGCAUGCAUAAUUUCUGCAGUGAAAUUUUUAAUGUAGACAUGAAUUCCUCUGUCAGGUGGAAACAGAACAACUGCUGUGUGUCAGAAGCCUUAUAUUGUUAGCUGCAAAUGGAGAGUCUCCUACUCCUGGAGCCGAAGACAUCCUGUUUUUGGAACCUCAACACAGUAGCGGAUA